GAACAACCAUGGAAGGGAAAAGUAGGCAGAAGUACACAUGAACAGAGAGGAAGUGCCACAGGUUGAGAGCACUUCUCCAUGAUGAUCUGUUGAAAGACGUCCCGGAGGUUUUGUAUUGAAGGUAGUAAAUACAAACGUUUUGCAGGCGUUAACUGUGAAAGUGGGAGUUGUGAGGACAGCUUCAACCAGGGUGGCAACGCGGGUAAACUCUCGUCCCUUUU
rnacentral:ncRNA from 1 species